GGGGCUGUGCCUCAGGGUAGAGCACUUGCCUAGCAUAGGGGAGGCCCUGGGUUCCAUCCCCAGCAGCCCCC
rnacentral:tRNA from 1 species